rnacentral:rRNA from 1 species
GAUGAACGCUAGCUGGAGGCUUAAUACAUGCAAGUCGAGCGGGAUUGGGUAGCAAUACCCAUGAGAGCGGCGCACGGGUGAGUAACGCGUACACGACCUACCUCUAACAGGGGGAUAGCCCUGGGAAACUGGGAUUAAUACCGCAUAUAAUUCUGAAUAAUAAAGGUUUGGAAUGAAAGCUGAGGCGGUUAGAGAUGGGUGUGCGUCUGAUUAGCUAGUUGGUAGGGUAACGGCCUACAAAGGCGAUGAUCAGUAGGGGGCGUGAGAGCGUGGUCCCCCACACGGGUACUGAGACACGGACCCGACUCCUACGGGAGGCAGCAGUAAGGAAUAUUGGUCAAUGGGCGAAAGCCUGAGCCAGCCAUCCAGCGUGCAGGAAGAAGGCCCUAUGGGUUGUAAACUGCUUUUAUCAGGGAAGAAACCUCUGGAUUUACUCCGGAGCUGACGGUACCUGAAGAAUAAGCACCGGCUAACUCCGUGCCAGCAGCCGCCGUAA